ACCUCUAUGGCGUCGCCGAGGAACGUCUCUCACGCGGAGCCAAUCGGAACUCGCGGAGGGGCUGCUGGGGCUUCCAGGAGGGCGCAUGUGCGGAUGACUGGCCGCAGGCGGCCGGGCGGGCUGUAACCCGCCGCUGAACUGGCGCUUCUGUGUCCAGAGGCUUCGGCCUGGCCGCCGUCGCCUGUAAGCUACGAGGAGGAGAUUUACGACUUGGCCGGGCGCAGCAAAGGCCAGACUCUGCGCGAACAGGCGCUGGGCACCAACCGGCAGGCACCUGGCGGGCACCAUCGCACGGUGGCGCAGAAGCCCCUCAAUGGCCAGCGCCAGCUGCAGCCGUGGCCGCGCAGUCGUCUCACCUGAGCUUGGGCGAAUGUGGAUUGGGAAAGUCGACAUUAAUCAACUCAUUAUUCCUCAUAGAUUUGUAUUCUCCAGAGUAUCCAGGUCCUUCUCACAGAAUUAAAAAGACUGUACAGCUGGCAGCCUGUUAUCGAUUACAUUGAUAGUAAAUUUGAGGACUACCUAAAUGCAGAAUCAUGCAUGAACAGACGUCAGAUGCCUGAUAACAGGGUGCAGUGUUGUUCAUACUUCAUUGCUCCUUCAGGACAUGGACCAUUACAUAACUGAAGACUCCCACCUUCAGGCAGGAUUGUGUAGUACAUGUUUGUAACUACUUCACAUUGCCUUUUGUUGAGAUAUUUGGGCACCUUCACGAGUGUUAGAUACCAUGCUAGGUCCUGAGGAUACAGAUGAAUGAGACAAGGCCCUCACUGCGAAGAGUAUUUCAGUGAGAAGAUGGGAGAAACAAAUACAGAUGCUCUUCGACUUGGGACAGGGUUACAUUAACCCAUCACUUAAACCAUUGGAGAUUGAGUUUAUGAAGUGUUUGCAUGAAAAAGUGAGUAUCACCCCACUUAUUGCCAAAGCAGACACACUCACACCAGAGGAAUGCCAACAGUUUAAAAAACAGAUGGAGUCUCGCUCUGUUGCCCAGGUUGGAGUGCAGUGGUGUGAUCUCGGCUCACCGCAAGCUCUGCCUCCCAGGUUCACGCCAUUCUCCUGCCUCAGCCUCCCCAGCAGCUGGGACUACAGGCGCAUGCCGCACGCUUGGCUAAUUUUUUGUAUUUUUAGUAGAGACGGGGUUUCGCCGUGUUAGCCAUGAUGGUCUCGAUCUCCUGACCUCGUGAUCUGCCCGCCUUGGCCUCCCAGAGUGCUGGGAUUACAGGCGUGAGCCACCGCGCCCUGCCAAAUUUCCUCUUUAAAGUUAAGAAUAUUCAAGAAUAUACUGGGCAAAUUAUUUACUAAAAAUCACUACAGAAAGUUGUCCCAUACUUGGGAGGAAAAAGGUAAAAAAAUAUAUUAGCAUUGGCUGGGCGUGGUGGCUCAUGCCUGUAUCCUACUAAGUCAGGUAAGUAUGUGUUAAGUCCUAAAGUUGUAGUAUAGGUUGAACAUUCUUUUUUUUUUGAGAUGGAGUCUCCCUCUGUCACCCAGGCUGGAGUGCAGUGGCAUGAUCUCGGCUCACUGCAACCUCUGCCUCCCGAGUUCAAAUGAUACUUCUGCCUCAGCCUCCUGAGUAGCUGGGACUAUAGGCGUGCACCACCACACCUGGCUAAUUUUGGUAUUUUUAGUAGAGACAGGGUUUCACCAUAUUGGCCAGGCUGGUCUCAAACUCCUGACCUUACCAUCCUCCCGCCUCAGCCUCCCAAAGUGCUGGGAUUACAGGCAUGAGCCACCGCACCCCGCCUAGGUUGAACAUUCUUAAAGAGAAAAUUCAAAAUGUGAAUUGCUCCAAAAUCUAAAACGUUUUGAGCACUGACAUGCCGCUCAAAGGAAACGCUCACUGGAGCAUUUUGAAUUUUGGAUUUUUGGAUUAAGGAUGCUCAACCAGUAAGUAUAACACAGAUAUUCCAGAAUUCCAAAAAAAUUCAAAACACUUCUGGUCCCAAGCAUUUCAAAUAAGAGAUACUCAACUUGCCCCACCCAGGCUGGCAUCUCUGCCUCAUCAUUAAGUCUAUUUCUGUUUUCUUAUUUGAAAACAUACCUAAAAUUCAGGGGUUCUUUACCUGGGGCCCACAGUUUGCUCCCAGGGAAUCUAAUGAACCUCCUGGAAUCAAACAUUUUGGAGAGAAGGCCAGUCACUUUUAUCAGAAUGUCAGAUGGGUCAUGGACCCUCAAGAAUUAUUUUAAAAAUGUAUAAGCCCAGUUAAAACAUUCACAGUCUCCUUUCCUCAGUGCAAAAGUUGCCCUUUUUGACAUUGCAUAUUUAGAGUAAAAAAAUUUCAUUAGUAAGAGAUCCUCUUUACUAGUUUUGUAAGGAGUUUUUUGUUUCUUAACUUGCUAUCUUAAAUUAUUAAGGGUUAAGUAAGGAGUUUUAAAUACCAAUAAAAUCUUAGUUAUAACACCAAACCUCAGAAGUCCUUCCUCUUGGCAAUAGGUUUAUUGUAUUUGUUUAAUCUGAUAUUUAAUCUUCUGUAUUACAGUAAGCUGAAACCAAAAUUGAGACGUGAUUGUUUUAUGUUUGUUGCUAUUAUUUUUGAACUUUUUUUUUUUUUUUUUUUUUUUUAAGAGACAAGGUCUUGCUGUGUUGCCCAACUGGCCUCAAACUCCUGAGCUCAAAGUGAUCUUCCUACGUCAUGCUCCUCCCAUAUCACGUCACUAUAGGCACACACCACUGCCCCUGUCUUAUUUUGAACAGUUCUUUAAUUUUUAGGAUAUUGUUUCAAGUUACUGUCCUUAUUGGCAAUUUUCCCACCAGUGACCCCCGUACCUUGUUCCCAGUUCCCUCUGCCAUGCCCAGGCAACUUUCAGUUGCUGAGCUGAGGCUUUAAAACUUACAUACUGCUUGAAAAUAGGCAACGGAGAAAUUGAUUUUCAUCUCUCUUUUGUAGUUUACCCUUCUACUCUCAAGUAAUAUUCGUAUUUGUGAUACAUUAUUUAAAAAUAAAAGUAAAGAACCUUAAA